UAGGUUAAGGUUUAGGUUUAGGUUUAGGUUAAGGUUGAGGUUUAGGUUAUAGGUUAAGGGUUUAGGUCAUAGGUUUAGGUUUAGGUUAAGGUUAUAGGUUUAGGUUAAGGUUUUAGGUCAUAGGUUUAGGUUUAGGUUAAGGUUAUAGGUUUAGGUUAAGGUUUUAGGUCAUAGGUUUUGGUUUAGGUUAAGGUUAUAGGUUUAGGUUAAG